rnacentral:rRNA from 1 species
AUGAACGCUAGCUACAGGCUUAACACAUGCAAGUCGAGGGGCAGCAUGGUCUUAGCUUGCUAAGGCCGAUGGCGACCGGCGCACGGGUGAGUAACACGUAUCCAACCUGCCGUCUACUCUUGGACAGCCUUCUGAAAGGAAGAUUAAUACAAGAUGGCAUCAUGAGUCCGCAUGUUCACAUGAUUAAAGGUAUUCCGGUAGACGAUGGGGAUGCGUUCCAUUAGAUAGUAGGCGGGGUAACGGCCCACCUAGUCUUCGAUGGAUAGGGGUUCUGAGAGGAAGGUCCCCCACAUUGGAACUGAGACACGGUCCAAACUCCUACGGGAGGCAGCAGUGAGGAAUAUUGGUCAAUGGGCGAGAGCCUGAACCAGCCAAGUAGCGUGAAGGAUGACUGCCCUAUGGGUUGUAAACUUCUUUUAUAAAGGAAUAAAGUCGGGUAUGGAUACCCGUUUGCAUGUACUUUAUGAAUAAGGAUCGGCUAACUCCGUGCCAGCAGCCGCGGUAAUACGGAGGAUCCGAGCGUUAUCCGGAUUUAUUGGGUUUAAAGGGAGCGUAGAUGGAUGUUUAAGUCAGUUGUGAAAGUUUGCGGCUCAACCGUAAAAUUGCAGUUGAUACUGGAUAUCUUGAGUGCAGUUGAGGCAGGCGGAAUUCGUGGUGUAGCGGUGAAAUGCUUAGAUAUCACGAAGAACUCCGAUUGCGAAGGCAGCCUGCUAAGCUGCAACUGACAUUGAGGCUCGAAAGUGUGGGUAUCAAACAGGAUUAGAUACCCUGGUAGUCCACACGGUAAACGAUGAAUACUCGCUGUUUGCGAUAUACGGCAAGCGGCCAAGCGAAAGCGUUAAGUAUUCCACCUGGGGAGUACGCCGGCAACGGUGAAACUCAAAGGAAUUGACGGGGGCCCGCACAAGCGGAGGAACAUGUGGUUUAAUUCGAUGAUACGCGAGGAACCUUACCCGGGCUUAAAUUGCAGAUGAAUUACGGUGAAAGCCGUAAGCCGCAAGGCAUCUGUGAAGGUGCUGCAUGGUUGUCGUCAGCUCGUGCCGUGAGGUGUCGGCUUAAGUGCCAUAACGAGCGCAACCCUUGUUGUCAGUUACUAACAGGUUCUGCUGAGGACUCUGACAAGACUGCCAUCGUAAGAUGUGAGGAAGGUAGGGAUGACGUCAAAUCAGCACGGCCCUUACGUCCGGGGCUACACACGUGUUACAAUGGGGGGUACAGAGGGCCGCUACCACGCGAGUGGAUGCCAAUCCCAAAAACCUCUCUCAGUUCGGACUGGAGUCUGCAACCCGACUCCACGAAGCUGGAUUCGCUAGUAAUCGCGCAUCAGCCAUGGCGCGGUGAAUACGUUCCCGGGCCUUGUACACACCGCCCGUCAAGCCAUGGGAGCCGGGGGUACCUGAAGUGCGUAACCGCGAGGAGCGCCCUAGGGUAAAACUGGUGACUGGGGCU